UGCCAGCUGAAACCAUCUACUGCAUGGUCUCCAAAACUUUUUUUACCUACACCAAAAUAUGUGAAAAUAAAGCCCAGGUUUAAAAACUACUGAAAUUACCAUGUAAUUCAGUCAGCUAUGUCACAAUAUGCAGUAGAACAGAUGCUUGUAGGUGGUAAAAUUAUCAGGUUUAAGAGAAAUGUAGCAUUUUGGCCAUUUGAAACCCAUAAGAAACCUUGUCUAAACGAAAAAGAAACAAUCAGGUGGACAGUUGAUAGUAAGAUAGAGUCCAAGUAUGUAAAAAAAAAAAUAUUAAACUGCUGAUUGGCAUGGGGACAAGAGCUAGCAGAGGUAACUUACUAACUAACAGGUGUGUGAGGGGCUGGCAAUCAAAUAUGACAAUCUUUGUGCUGAGUUAAAAAACUGUUGUGGUCACUGGUCACGCUGAGAUCAACGUCAGUCUUUUAAAAAACAAAGUUUCUGAGCUAAGCAAGCAACAGCGCUAAUGCUAAACUAGCGCCUUUUCCACCGACUUUUGACUGGGGUAGCUCAUCAAGCUAGCUGACACUUGAUGACACGUCCCUGUGGAUAUCAACGGGACCAACGGGCGGAUCUCAACCGCUGCUGAUGAGCUGUUUCUCAGCAAACAGCCGUUUCCAGCGUCAAUGGACUGAAAUACUUAACUGCUGUGAUAGUCGCCACUCAGCAUCAUGAGGAAGCUUCUGCAGGGAGCCAUAACUGCCGCCAAAGGCCUUUAAAUCCUCCAUUUGAUGGCUUGAGGAUUCGGCAGGAGGAUUCGAAAAGGAUGAAGAGAAGAAAAUUGCACAUCCUUAAGAAAACAAAGAGCAUUUCCUUCCCUGUGUCAGGAUGAAAAAGGGAGAAGAGGGGGAAAAAAAGAGAAAUACAUACUAAUUCAUCAUUGGCUUUUACUGCUCCUUGAUGGUCCAUAACUCACUUUGACCAUGAUUCCCUUUCCCCUUCAUACUUUCGGAUUCACAAUCCACUACGCCAUGUUUUAAUGACCAUAUUAUAGGCAAUUCUACACUGUCCAAUAAAAGGUUUACACUUUGAA